rnacentral:lncRNA from 13 species
UGAUGUCUCUUCCGUCUUUCUGCGGCUGUGGCUUCUAACAUUCUAAUAGUGUUCUCAUCAGCCGGGCUGAGAACAAAAGAGCGCAGACUGGGGCUGAAGCUACAGAACCGUCCUUCCCGCAGUUCUGGAGUGAGGAGUCUUGGCUCACGGUGUCACACGCUCGGGUUCCUGGCUAACCAGACCGCCUGCCCAAGAACCCUGCCCUUGGGAACUGUGUCGCUGGGGGUCACAGGAAUGCUGGGGACACGUCACCAGUCACUCCAUCGCACGUUGAACUCAGGCUCACGGUGACAGCUUUACAGCAGGCUCCCUCCCCAGGCCUCUCGAAAGCAUUCCUCUGCCGGUCUGCUCGGCUCUUCUCCCACGUCAAGUUUACAGGCGGUGUCAAGGCCCACGGCAGUCCCGUGGGAGUUUUAAGGGAUUCAUGUAGUUCACGGGACAGUUUGGAAGAUUGUCAUUCAUGUGACUUAGAGUCCAACUUGAAAAUGGAUUCAGACCGGGCGCGGUGGCUCAAGCCUGUAAUCCCAGCACUUUGGGAGGCCGAGGCGGGUGGAUCACGAGGUCAAGAGAUCGAGACCAUCCUGGUCAACAUGGUGAAACCCCGUCUCUACUAAAAAUACAAAAAACUAGCUGGGCAUGGUGGCGCGUGCCUGUAAUCCCAGCUACUCAGGAGGCUGAGGCAGGAGAAUUGCCUGAACCCAGGAGGCGGAGGUUGCGGUGAGCAGAGAUUGCGCCAUUGCACUCCAGCCUGAGUAACGAGCAGAACUCUGUCUCAAAAAAAAAAAAAAGAAAGAAAAUGGAUUCUAGCUCUCAACUAAUUUAGAACUUUGGCAGUGUUUUAGAUUUCUUUGACGGCAGAGGCCCUCGUUUCUUGGUUUGUGGUUAAAUAUUUUAUGAAAUCCAUGACGUUUUUGUGACAAUGAGUGGGACACUUUCCCAUGAAAUGCAAUUCUGUGUUGCUGUUUUAAUAAACACUGUUGACUGAUGUGUAUGAUGUUACA